rnacentral:lncRNA from 1 species
GUGGUUGGUAUCAAGGAUGCGAGUGAGAGGCUUAGAAGUAGACAUUUUUUAUAGAGAGAAGAAGAUUCUAGUUAGACUUUAUAUUUGACUUGUUUUAGUUUAUUUUAAAAGUUUUAUUUUAAAAAUAACUCAACUCUCACUAUUUUCUCAAAAUCUUCCACACUCUUCGGGUGGAGAAAUGGAAACCUCUAUGAUUAAGAUUUCAAGUGGAUAUUAUGGUCCCGCUG